CUAACCUGCUAAAUAGUACAGUUGCAAUUGUUAUGUGGACCUCUGUCCUUGUGCCUCUGGUGCAGAGACGGAACCACAUAAGCAGGUGAAACUUCUUAGAGGAACUGGCGCCCGAAAAGGCGCACGAGAAAGAGCAAUAACAGGUCUGUGAUGCCCUAAGAUGUCCGGGGCCGCACGCGUGCUACAAUGACGAUGCUACUGAGCAUGAUUUACUUGUCCGAAAGGAUUGGUGAAACUGUUUAAUCAUCGUCGUGACUGGGAUUGAGGUUUGUAAUUAUCCCUCAUGAACCAGGAAUUCCUAGUAAGCACAAGUCAUAAGCUUGUGCUGAUUACGUCCCUGCCCUUUGUACACACCGCCCGUCGCUACUACCGAUUGAAUGGUUUAGCAAGGACAUUGGAUCGAGCCUUUGCGGUUCACGCUGCUUUGGUUUGAGAAGAUGUCCGAACUUGAUCAUUUAGAGGAAGUAAAAGUCGUAACAAGGUUUCCGUAGGUGAACCUGCGGAAGGAUCAUUA
rnacentral:rRNA from 1 species